UGUCUUAUUGUUUUGUUUUAAUUAAGCAUGAAGACUCCACUACAAUGUUGAUCUUUUAACUUUAGAGGUACAUGCACACAUGCACUACGUGCUGAAAUUGAACGUUUGAAAUCUCUCGUGGAGUCUAUCAAUAAGUCACCUUCUGGUACGUGCUUGGUAGCCGUGAUUGGUAAGAACUCCAAUUCCUCUUUUCAUGUUUCUAAAACUUUAUGUAAAGACUCCUGGGUUGCAAACUCUGGUGCGACAUACCAUAAGAACCCUAGAGUCUACGCAAUCAUUCCAAUUUAUUUUAUUUCCUUUUUUUAGGAGAAUGUAUUUAGUAAAAUAUUUCUUUUCUAACUCUCAUUAUUCAAGUAUAUGUUACAUGCGAUGUAAUCCAAUUGGAUAUGUGAUACAAGUGUUACACAUGCUAUAUCCAGUAAGGAAUAAAUGGUUAGUACAAAAACAAAUCAUCAACGUUUAUGCAUGAAUUUAAACAUAAUUUCUUUUGAAUAAACCAGCUUAAUAUGUGAAAAAUGCAAAUCUAAACACACUAAGGUCUUUAGAGGUAGCUUCUCACCUCCCACCUUGCCCAACGCUCCAUAAGCUGGGUUCUUUUCAGAAGUAGUCCAGGCCUCUGAAAAAUAAAUAAUUUUUAUCCUAAUCUCAUGCAAAGAAAUUUAUGAACACGAAAAUUAAGAAACAAAAAUAAUACCUGGGUAGCUAAAUAUAUAUUGUUUAAAUACAGAGGUCGUGCAUGAACAAUUGCUUGAUAUGCAUUCCUUCGCCCAUCUCUACUCUGCAGAGGAAAUUUUGGUAGGGAGAAUCAGUUCUGGGAUUGUAAGGUUGCAUCAAUUGCCAAUCAUCCGCUCAUCAUUAUGAUGUUAAAAAUAAUAUGUGGUUAAAAAUUUGAGAAGAUUAUAUUGCUGAAAUAUGGAAGGAGAAAAAGUAGCAUAUUCUAGAAUUAGUACCCCAAAGUCAAAGAAGAAGUUGGAACGGUCCACCAUAAAUAUCUCUAGUGCACUUCUCCUAAGAAGAUAUCUGUAAAAGGCAUCAAUUAAUGACAUGCAUACAACAUUAAGUUCAAAAUGUUCACUCCAUAUGGACAACAAGUUUGCACUAUAAACUGUCAAAAAGAAAACAUCAAGUAGCUAAGAAAAAUGGAAGGUGCAAUUAGAUAGGGAGAUAUUUACAAUUAGUUUCUCUUCUUGAUUCCUUUAUUCACAAUUUUUUUUAAUUUUUCUCAUUAUUCUGUAUUUGUUUUCUUUUUUUUCAUCUUGUCUCUUUUCUUUUUUUUUACUUUUCAGAACACAACUCUAAGAGACAAGAUACAUAACAUAUUUAAAAAAACAAAAACAAGAAGUGGAACCAACUAGCCAAUUCUCUGAAUCUCCCAGGAGACCGCACUUAUUCCUAAAACAAUUCUAAAGCUCCAAAAUUCCCUAAGGUUAAGGUAUCAUGUUUUUUCACAUAGGGCUAGUGUAUGAGCUUCAAAACAAAGAAAUGGGGAAAGUAUAGGCUCAAAAGGGCUAUCAAAGGAUCAAAACAAGGUAGGUUCAUCUGGCUAAAGAGGCUCAACAAUCUCAAUCUCGACUAUGUCACUGAACAAACCAACUUGCCGCAUACUGGCACUGCUCCCCUGGCCACUCAGUGCCCAAAAAGUUGUUUAUGGUAUCGAGGUCAUACCUGACAAUAUGCCCCCUCACAUAACUCCUAAACCUUCCAAUCGCAACUCCCCCUCUGGAUAAGGCGUUUGUGUAAAAUUCCUUCACCAACUCAAUGCUAGCUGGUGUAGGGUAAGUCGUCAACCUUUCCCAGUCUCUCCUCAUAAUCUAUGCUCCAAAUUCAGGAGCUAAAUCAGGAAUGAAGGUAGCCUUCCUCUCCAUAAGUAAUCUCCUUUCCUACACAGUUGCAAAGUGUUCUUCAUGCUGUUUGGAGAGGAACCUUUGAGAGUAAAAUCCUCUUGGCCUUUCAGGCUCCUUCCUCUUGUUGCCAGUAUUUCUCCCCCUUCUUGAUGUUGAUGCCAUUCCUGCAUAAGAUAUAAUUCGAAACAAACCACAGGAAUUCAUCAUUAGAAGUUAGUGCAUCAUCAAUCAAUUCCAGACCAGUUACAGUGCAAUAUUGAGGGUAAAACAGGGUCCUCCCUCCGUAUCCCUGCAUCAAAAUCAAGCAUCAAACAAACAUUGCAGCAGACCGCUCGGCGUCCAAGAGGCCCGCCCAGCGGUAUGCUUCAGCAGCAACACCGCGCGGCGUUGAAGGAGACCGCCCGGCGGUGCGUUUGGAUUUUCAUAAAAACUCUUCUAAACUGCCCUAAUUUCCACUCAAACACUAAUUUCAUCCAUUUAGACAAGAUUCAAGCAAUUCAAUCAGUCUAAAGAGUUCAUAUUUCAACAAUUCAUGCAUAAAAAUCCAAAAUCCUAAUUUGUCGUGUUCCUAAACAUGUUCUUCAUCAAAUUCCAAAAAUAGAAACUUACGAAUGAAGUUGCACAACUUACUUGAGUGGAGAUGCUAAAUGCUUGCAAGGAUUCUUCCAAUUGAUGAUGAAUAACUCUCAAUGCCCAACUCUCACCAAAAACCCCAAAUUUUAGACAAGAAACUAGGUUUUUGUGAGUGAGUGGUAAGAAAAUGUGGGAAAAUCUCUUUGGAAACCUUUUGAAGGUGCAAAUUGGGUGCUAAAGCUCAAGGAGACCGCUUGGCGAAACGCAAAGGAAGGGAUUCAAGUGCAGAACACCUAAAACCGCCCAGCAUUAAAGAGCUUAGGCUGAGGUGUUCGCCACCACCGCCUGGCGGUAAAAUGCACCGCUCGGCGGUGAGCGGUAGUUUUUCCACUCCUCUUCUUUGCUUGCUUUUGCGCGAUUCCUCCCUGUAGCACCUGAUUUUUGCCUUCAAUUUUUUAAUUACAUGUCUUUCCUCACUAAAAUAUACAUGCAAACCUAUAAUGCACUUAAGACAGAGUUUGAAAACACACAAACAAUCAACUGGGUUGCCUCCCAAGCAGCGCUUGUUUAACGUCACAAGCUUAACCCAAACCUGUUUAGCACUCAUCAGUAAGUGCAAUCCUUACCAACACCCAUCAGUAGGUGUACCUUCUUGGUAUGCUUCAGUGGAUACAAAAAGUUAGCAUCCCUCAGUAGAUGCUACCCAGAAAAUGUCCAAAAAUCCAAAGAAUUACAAGUUCAAAAAUGAAACAAACCUAAAACUAAUGUUUUACAAAAAAAUAAAUUGUCCCAGCAACAUCAUGUGUUAUCCUUUGUGUUGGUGUCUUCAAUACACCAAAUCCUCAGCUUUCUUCUAUCCACUCGCUUGGUAUGUCUACUGCAUGGUGCUUCAAUCUCCACGACCCUUUCCUCUUUCAACUCUUUUAACACCCACUCCCUCCUCUUACAUUUCACUUUAAUGCCCGGUCGGAAUGGGUCUUCUUUUGAUUCAGGAUGAAUGGUUCUUCCUUGUUUACUUACGGGUACCUGCAAAACAUUACAGUUGUCAGUAUAAUCAGUACCUGAUGUGUUAUCUUCAUAUUCAGCUUCUCUCCCUGAAUCCUCAGGUCCGACUCUCUUUUUUAUUUUGACCUCAUUCUCCUCAUAGCCAGUAUAAAGAAGCGAAUACUCUUGGUCCCUCAUCAUUAUUCUUCUAUCAUAGACACUAAUAAGCAUCUUUGAAGUUUCCAUGAAGGGUCUUUGAUGAGUCAAUAUUUUCUUGACUUUACUUAGUUUAUUGUGUUAGAAUUAAUCAGGGAAUUGUGCUUAAUUGUCCGGUAUUUUCCCGUUUUCCUAAUUAUGCUUAAUUUGACUGGAAAUUCUAAUUUUAAUUAAUUUGAAUUUUCUGAGCUAAUUAUUUGCAUUAUUAUUUGCAGGGAAAAUUUUGGAGAUACAAUUUGGAGCAUUGGGAAGGAGACAAAAUAAAUUCAAGACUCUCAUAAUUGACAUUUUAAAUUUUAGUUAUCUUGUAAUUUAAUUGUUUAAAAUUUUUAGACAAACUUUUGCACAUUGGGCCAUUGUUGGCAAAUUUAUGAUGGACCUAAAGAGUAGGACACUUGACCUAGGGUUUUCUUUUAUUUUUAGGGUGGCGCGACACUUGAGCCGUCACUUUUUGGCAUUACUUGGCUUAGAACAUUUUUGUUUUUCACGGUUUUUUUCUGGAAAUAUGUUCAUGCUACUGGACUUUGGUUGAUUGGAAGGUUGCUCACGGUUUUUCAUGUUGGUUGAAUGAAUCAAGUUUUUUUCUUUUUCCCUUCCAUUAUGUGCAAUGCUGCAACAUUCCCUUUUCAUUUACUUUGGAGUUUCACAUUGAAUGAGAAAGCUGGAAGCCAAGACACUUCUUUUAUUUGGUGCUUUGAAUUUUUCUUGUGAGAGAUGAAAAGAAACUCAUGACAAUUGCUUGCUAGCCGACACACUCUAAGAAUUUUUUUACUUUUGAAUGUUUUUUUUUUCGAGUAGCCGUCACUUGCUCUUAGUUCUUUAGGCUGGAACGUUUACUUUUUCUUGGGGAAUAUACAUUUGUUCACGG
rnacentral:lncRNA from 1 species